GCGAUCCCGUCCGUGUCAGGUGCCUCCGUCCUCGGGGGAGAAUCGGGAAGCCGGGGCAGAACCGGCGCGGGCCCGCCGCUGUGACGGGGACGGGGCGGACACAUGGCCACUGGGCGUCAGUCAGGCGCUCGGGAAGGCGUCCGUUCCGGAUGAUCCGAAGCCAGAAGACCGGCCUGACGGCAUGGCGGCCC
rnacentral:ncRNA from 2 species